UACGAGGGGAGCGAGUGUUGUUCGGAUUUACUGGGCGUAAAGGGAGUGUAGGCGGAAGCCUAAGUCAGAGGUGAAAUUUUGGGGCUUAACCCCAAACCUGCCUCUGAUACUGGGUUUCUUGAGUAUGGAAGAGGAUGAUGGAAUUCCUGGUGUAGCGGUGGAAUGCGUAGAUAUCAGGAGGAACACCGAUAGCGAAGGCAGUCAUCUGGUACAAUACUGACGCUGAAACUCGAAAGCAUGGGGAGCAAACAGG
rnacentral:rRNA from 1 species